UUUUUCUUCUUUAAUUAUACCGAACUUCUGAGAAAACCAAUCCUAUACAAUUCAACGCCUGCUUUAAGUUUAAAGAUGAUUGUCAAAAACAACUUUCAAAAAUUCGAGUAUCAUAAUCAGAUAUAUAUUGAAGUACAAGAUCCUCAAGAAAAUAUUGAUCAGAUUCUGUUCAUUCCAACCAGUAGCAUCACCAGAAUUUAAAUGUCUCAUUCGAGUGUUUG
rnacentral:lncRNA from 1 species